GUUUGCACGGGCUGGGCAGAGUUUGCAGGGAAGAGGACUCGGAGGUUGCACCGGGGCGGAGCGGGAGGCGACUCGGGACCGGUGAGCGCUGCCUGCCGCAGUCAUGGAGCCGAGCGCGGACGUGGCCUUGCUGAUUGCUCUGGUUGUCAUUGCCGCGACAGCCUUGCUGUUAGUUUUCAAGACUAGGAGAUCCCAGAGGAAGAGUGAUCCCAUUACAUUACAGGAUCCAAACACUAAGUAUCCAUUGCCAUUGAUAAAGAAAGAGGAGAUCAGCCAUGAUACCAAGAAAUUCAGGUUUGGGCUUCCGUCGCCGGAUCACGUAUUAGGGCUACCUAUAGGCCAGCAUGUUUACCUCUCUUCCAAAAUCAAUGGUAAUCUUGUCAUCCGGGCCUACACUCCAGUUUCCAGUGACGAAGUAAAAGGUUAUGUUGACUUAAUUAUAAAGGUCUACUACAAAAAUGUCAAUCCCAAAUUCCCUGAAGGCGGGAAGAUGUCCCAGUACUUAAACAGCAUGACCGUUGGGGAUACCAUUGACUUCAGAGGGCCAAAUGGGCUUCUUGUAUACAAGGGGACAGGUAACUUUGCUAUCAAGCCUGACAAGAAGUCUGAAGCACACAGAAAGUUUGUAAAGCAUCUUGGGAUGAUAGCUGGAGGAACAGGAAUAACUCCGAUGUUGCAGCUGAUCCGUCACAUCACAAAGGAUCCUAAUGAUAAUACAAAGUGUUACCUCCUUUUUGCUAAUCAGACUGAAAAAGACAUAUUACUGAGAGCAGAGCUAGAAGAGGUAGCCAAGAAUCACCCUGAUCAAUUUAAAGUGCAGUAUACAUUGGACAGACCUCCUCAGGAUUGGAAGUAUAGCUCUGGCUUCAUUACUGCAGACAUGAUUAAAGCACACCUCCCUCCCCCAGGCAGAGAUACUCUUAUUCUGAUGUGUGGGCCUCCACCUAUGAUUCAGUUUGCGUGUCAGCCCAAUCUGGAAAAACUUGGUUAUCCCAAAGAUAACACAUUCGCUUAUUAACACUGAUGCAAUGCAGUAUGUCUCAUUCACAUGCAGAAAUAAUCCAUUGUGCUACAGCACUUUUAGAACAAUUGAACGAGUUUAUCUACUUAAAUCAGCUGCACCAAUGAAGCCGUUAAUUGUACACUUUAUGUGAUUCUACGUAUUGGAUACAGAAUCAAAUCCAUACUGCUUCAGUAAAGUGAACCCCGUCUAAGGGAGAUGGGACAGCAAUUGCUUGCAAAAUGUUGGAGUUACUGAAUUUCAAUGGGUUUUUAUCAGAUAUAGACACUUAUUUACUGUGGGCAAAAGUCACCUCUUUUCAGAGGCUGAGCAGAAUCAGUGGAGACUAUGCACUACUUAAGGUCAACUUAGGCCAUCCACUAUGACUGGAGGACUGACAACUUAUUUCAAAAUAAAGAUUUUUCAAGUAUGGAAAUAUAAGUAGGCUGUAAAUAAGGAGUCUAUAACAAGAACACUGGAACACUUACUCUAGGGGACUGCUUUAACUGUCACUGCAUUCUAGCAGGAUAAGUUUGUGACUUUACAGCAAGUAUAAAUUGGUACAUACCGUGAGGUUGCUUAUGCCUUGAGAGAGCACCCCUAUUUGCAUUACUGUUCCUUCUGAAUGUUCCAUCUGUAAAAUCAGUCAGUAAACUAGAUCAAAUCAGACAGCAACUACAGUUUUAUCCGGAGCAUGCAUGUAUGUAGAGCAUGCAUCUUUUGGAGGUGAUUCUGUCUUGAGGAAAAACGAAAUCUCAACAUAAUGAAUUACUACUCUUGGAAAUGUGUUAACAAUUUGUUCUCAAAGUUAUACAGAAAUAAAUAUACAUAUUGUACAUAACACCUCACAAAACAAAAGGAAAAAUACUCCUAUGCCAGCAUAAUGCAGUGAAAAUGCAGUUAUGAUAGGAAGAUCAAUUUCUGAUGAGAAAAGGCAUUCUUUAAUCCCUUAGUACAAACGUUACACACACUAGCAAAUUUAAGAAUUUAUCAAUUUCCUCUCAUGAAUUUUAGUGCUGUGUGUUACAGUAAUAUUUUUCAGAAGUCAAAAACAUUCAAGAUGCAUUCAGUAAUGCAUGUGAUGCAUUCCUACUAGACAGGCAAUUACAAGUACUCUUCAUACUCUUACUGAUUUUAAAAAGGGAUAUAAAUUGUUUGAGCACAUCAGGUGGCCUAAAAUGUAAAGAGGGUUCAGUAGUAGUUCAUUAAAAGUAUUAAUUUUUCACUGUGUACAAAGGUGUGAAUGUAUUAUGUUCACUUCCAGGUCAUUUUUUCAGCUGGAAGAUGGACUGUCACCAAUUUUUUUUAAUAUUCAAAAUAUUUUGUAACAUUUGUAUUUAGUAAUUUAAAAUGGGGUCAGGAAUGGUGGAAUGUUAAAGUUAAAUCAAAUCCAUGCUGCUUCAGUAAAGUGAACCAGGGGCAGUAGUUGCUUACAAAAUAUUGGAAUUUACUUAUUUUCAGUUUUUCAAUUGGUUUUUAUCAGAUAUAGACACUAAUUUACUGUGGGCGAAAGUCACCCCUGUUCAGAGCAGAAUCAGUGGAGACUAUGCACUUCUUAGAUGCUGCUUUUACCUUGUAACUGGACAUUUCCUUUCAGUAAACAUGUCAAAGCAUCAAAAUACAGUACAUUCACUACAGAUACUGACCGCGUUCAACUCUGUUGGGAUUUGGUCGUCUCUUAUUUCCUUAACAUAAAUAAGAUUAACAAUACUAUUUUACUUUGUAAACACUAACACAGGAGCCACUAGAUAUGAAACAUUUCUAUCGCUAAAACAUGCUAAAACAUUUUUGUUAAUGGGGUCCUCUAAAUAACACAGUGCAAACUUGCACAAGAAAAGACAGUGGUUAGGUAAUGAGUUACUUUACAGAUGAGCACAAAUGAUGCGUUAGGUGCAGUAAACCAUGCAAAUGAAAAAUGAAUUGUCAGUUUAUCAAUGUUGUGAUCAUUCUCUUAUCUGGUUUCUCACUUAGGAGAAUUAUUUAAUCUGGCUUCUCUCUGGAACAGUCUGAGCUAGUGUAAAUUGUCAUAGCUCUAUGGAAGUCACUGGAGCUAUGAUAAUUUACACCAGCAGAUCUGCCCACACAAGCGCCAACAACUCCCUUUUUCAGGGUUUGCAGUACUUUACACAGACUUUGGCAGGAAGGAGGCUGGAUAACACGUGUACGUGUG